UCUUUAAACCGUUCCCACGCCUCAUGAAACUCUUCAUUUGGUUUUUGGGCAAAAGAUAAAAUUUGAGUUCUCAUGUCGAGAGUCUUUGAAGCUGGAUAAUACUUGUUUAAGAAUUUUUCACUGAGUUGGUUCCAAGUGCUAAUGCUUCCAGAUGGAAGUGUGAGGAGCCAUCUCCUUGCUUGAUCUUUCAAUGUGUAAGGAAAUAGACGAAGCUUAAUAGAUUCAGCUGAGAAUCCUUUCACCAAAAUAUUCUUGCAUCCCAUUAAAAAUUCUGCAAUGUGCAUGUUAGGAUCAUCGGUUGAUAACCCAUGAAAUGUAGGUAGAAUACUCAACAUGUGAUGCUUGAUUUCGAAUGUAGACCCUUCUUCCACUGCUGGAUAUGUAAUGCAACCUGGUCCUCAGAAUAUAAAGACUGCAGAAAAGUCCCUUGCAGUGAAGGAACCCAUAGCAAAUUUUGCUCCCUGCGUCUCCUCCUUAAAGAUUGCUUAGGUUCUGGAUCAAACGGAAACAAUUGCUGAACUGCUGAACGUGUGCUGACCAUGCACAGAUUGUAAUCUGCACUGCCUUGCUGUGAUCUGCAAAAAUAAAUAAAAACGAAAAUUAUUUCUUUUUCUUCUUUUUUUGGUAUGUAUGUACAGCAAUAAUUAAUGCAGAAUCUGAUUAGAACGAAUUAUUUUAAAUAA